rnacentral:lncRNA from 1 species
GCACUACAAGUGACAUGCCACUGGGCAGGUAAGAUCCUCUCAAAUGAAGGGACUGUGAAUAUUUGACUAAUAAUACAAAUAUUUACUGGAUAUUUUACAGUGAUAUUUACAAAUAUCACUGGCUAACUUUUCCCAGCUUGAUAUCCUGAAAGAGGCACAGUUUCAGUAGUAAAUGGUAAAUUUACCUUGAUUGCACUGAAGGCUAUUUCUUUAAAACUAUUUUCUUUCCUUUUGACUAUUCCAUGUAUCCUUUCAGAAGUAAACAUUGUUUUUACCCCUUUAAAAAGUCUACUUAUACCAUCUACUUAAUUUGGAAUUUAUCUAACAUUGCCAGUUUGAUAUAGAUACAGAAAUUUAAUGAGAAAAUGCAGUUCUAUAUUUAGAAUAUGGAUUCUUCAAGAUGUUUCUGACACACAUUUGUUUUCAUUGAAACAUUAAACAAUUAUUUAGCUAACA